CUUUCAUUCAAUUCUAACCAGAACAUAUAACAUAACUAAACAAAUCGAAUCUUUAAUAACUAUGAUCAAAUCAAUUAUUGUCCUUUGCCUUUUCUUAGCUGUUUCUUCAGCUCGAGAUAUCGUGCAUACAAAAUGUGACUCUACCUCCGGUACAAUUGAAUCGUUCGAUAUGGACCCUUGCGACUCUGAUAUUUGUAUUCUGAGGCCCAAUACGGAUGUUGUUUUUACCGGUCAAAUCAUCCCAACUAUUUCCGCUGAGAAACCGACUCUUUCCAUUCAGGUUAAAUGGGAUAUUCUUAUAUUGAAUAUCCUGGUCUCUCGCAAGACGCUUGAAUACUGAAUGUCCAUUGAAGGCCAAUGUCGCAAACCACUUCAAAGUCGAGAUGGAAACUUUCGGCUGGUUUCCACCCAUGGUCACUGACAUGCGAUUCCACGUCUACGAAUCAGCCGAUGGUGAAGAAUUGGCCUGUGCUCAAUCCAAAAUUGAGAUCGCACCUUAUUAACUCAAUUAAUUAAACAGUGAACGUGACAUCACUGAUUAACCGAACGCAUUAAUGCGAUCACAAAAAAUGAAAAGUAAAAUUAUUAAUAAAAGAG